rnacentral:rRNA from 1 species
UACGUAGGGUGCAAGCGUUGUCCGGAUUUAUUGGGUUUAAAGGGUGCGUAGGUGGCUUUUUAAGUCAGUGGUGAAAUACAGCCGCUCAACGGUUGAGGUGCCAUUGAUACUGAAGAGCUUGAAACAAGUGGAGGCUGCCGGAAUGGAUGGUGUAGCGGUGAAAUGCAUAGAUAUCAUCCAGAACACCGAUUGCGAAGGCAGGUGGCUACGUUUGAUUUGACACUGAGGCACGAAAGCAUGGGGAGCAAACAGG